rnacentral:rRNA from 1 species
GAGUUUGAUCAUGGCUCAGAUUGAACGCUGGCGGCAGGCCUAACACAUGCAAGUCGAACGGUAACAGGAAGCAGCUUGCUGCUUCGCUGACGAGUGGCGGACGGGUGAGUAAUGUCUGGGAAGCUGCCUGAUGGAGGGGGAUAACUACUGGAAACGGUAGCUAAUACCGCAUAAUGUCGCAAGACCAAAGAGGGGGACCUUCGGGCCUCUUGCCAUCGGAUGUGCCCAGAUGGGAUUAGCUUGUUGGUGGGGUAACGGCUCACCAAGGCGACGAUCCCUAGCUGGUCUGAGAGGAUGACCAGCCACACUGGAACUGAGACACGGUCCAGACUCCUACGGGAGGCAGCAGUGGGGAAUAUUGCACAAUGGGCGCAAGCCUGAUGCAGCCAUGCCGCGUGUAUGAAGAAGGCCUUCGGGUUGUAAAGUACUUUCAGCGGGGAGGAAGGGAGUAAAGUUAAUACCCUUGCUCAUUGACGUUACCCGCAGAAGAAGCACCGGCUAACUCCGUGCCAGCAGCCGCGGUAAUACGGAGGGUGCAAGCGUUAAUCGGAAUUACUGGGCGUAAAGCGCACGCAGGCGGUUUGUUAAGUCAGAUGUGAAAUCCCCGGGCUCAACCUGGGAACUGCAUCUGAUACUGGCAAGCUUGAGUCUCGUAGAGGGGGGUAGAAUUCCAGGUGUAGCGGUGAAAUGCGUAGAGAUCUGGAGGAAUACCGGUGGCGAAGGCGGCCCCCUGGACGAAGACUGACGCUCAGGUGCGAAAGCGUGGGGAGCAAACAGGAUUAGAUACCCUGGUAGUCCACGCCGUAAACGAUGUCGACUUGGAGGUUGUGCCCUUGAGGCGUGGCUUCCGGAGCUAACGCGUUAAGUCGACCGCCUGGGGAGUACGGCCGCAAGGUUAAAACUCAAAUGAAUUGACGGGGGCCCGCACAAGCGGUGGAGCAUGUGGUUUAAUUCGAUGCAACGCGAAGAACCUUACCUGGUCUUGACAUCCACGGAAGUUUUCAGAGAUGAGAAUGUGCCUUCGGGAACCGUGAGACAGGUGCUGCAUGGCUGUCGUCAGCUCGUGUUGUGAAAUGUUGGGUUAAGUCCCGCAACGAGCGCAACCCUUAUCCUUUGUUGCCAGCGGUCCGGCCGGGAACUCAAAGGAGACUGCCAGUGAUAAACUGGAGGAAGGUGGGGAUGACGUCAAGUCAUCAUGGCCCUUACGACCAGGGCUACACACGUGCUACAAUGGCGCAUACAAAGAGAAGCGACCUCGCGAGAGCAAGCGGACCUCAUAAAGUGCGUCGUAGUCCGGAUUGGAGUCUGCAACUCGACUCCAUGAAGUCGGAAUCGCUAGUAAUCGUGGAUCAGAAUGCCACGGUGAAUACGUUCCCGGGCCUUGUACACACCGCCCGUCACACCAUGGGAGUGGGUUGCAAAAGAAGUAGGUAGCUUAACCUUCGGGAGGGCGCUUACCACUUUGUGAUUCAUGACUGGGGUGAAGUCGUAACAAGGUA